AAAAAAUUACAGAAAGUUAACACGUGAAGCCAAAGGGAGAAACCACCCAUUUCGACACUCAAUAAAGAGAAAAUCCUCCCCUCCUAGCUCGGUCGCGCCUCAUCAUUUUCGGCCACACUUCGAUCGCACCCAUUUUCCCCAAAUUAUGCACUUUCCAUCUCCACCAUUUCGACACUUAGACGGGAGAACGCAGCAAAGGAAAAUCAAACAAAAGGUAGGACAAGGAGUCAAUUCGGCUAUACACGCAGGAUUGUAGAGGAGAGCUUUGUUCAUCACGUCUAAGUUAUGGUGCAGAACAUCUCCUGGGGUUUAAAACGACUAUUGUUUACCUAGAUGUUUAUUCUGCAAGUUAGAAGAUAAGUUAUAGAUGUUUCUAACAGAGUGUGAUUUUAUGGUGAAUGUAAGGUGCAAUGAGUUGACUCCUGAAAGAGUUCGCCUAGCCUAUUGAAGAAAAGAGGAAUUUUGGAAGAACGAAAUGAAAUUCUCGUUUAAUCAAUAUGAUUAUCAGUACAAUGAUGCAGAUGCAUUUGGGAUGGAGGAAUGACAAAAUGGUGGAGGCCUGUAAGAAAAAUGGAAUCCAUGUUACGAUAAUACAUGUCCAUACCAUAGUUUUGGACAUUGAGGAGUUAUUUAGUUCGGAGUUAAGAAAUAUUAUAUUGAUGAUAUGUCUUUUGCCUCCUGCAGAAACGGGUAUUGAAAAAGCUAACAGUGAUAGCUUGUUCACGAACAAGCGAUAGGGAUCUUACAUGAAUGUGGCUGAUAUUUGGGACCACAAAGAUUAUGAUAUCGAUAGUCUAUAGUAACUGAGCAGCUAGCAAUGGUCAAUCUUGAAUGUUUAUGCACUGUUUGAUCUCUUAGGGCUUGUUUUAUCAGUUUAUGUAUAUUGUGUCAUAAUAGUACUUGUUCACAUCUGCAAUAGUUCGAUCUCUUAGGUCUUGUUUUAUCAAUUUAUGUAUGUUCUUACUAUCAUAAUGGUACUUAUUCUCAUCUGCAAUAGAGUCUAUUUGACAUAGACAGUGCAGUCAAUUAUAUAUCCUACAAAUUUUAUUCCAAUCCUUCUUUUUGUAUCAAACAAUUUAAAAGGAAUAAACCAUUAUGAAAUGCCAAACAAAUUGUUUAAGAUCUAGUAAAAUUUAACUCUCUUUUCUAAAGCCAACUCCAAUUGAAACAUACAUAGGGCUACAAUUGCCCCAGGCUGAGGGAUUGAAGAGGCCACCACCAUUGAUGGACUAAAACUCCUCUUGCUAUAUGGGAAGUAUACAAAUCCAAGCAUUGCCCAUAUGUUUUAUGGUACGUGCUGUCCCUCUCACUGGGGCAGCAUUUCUGCCACCUAUUGUAAUGACAUUUAAGAAAGAUUUCAUCGAUCAAGCAUAUUGCUCCCAUCUCGAUCAACCUUGGAAUCGGAUCAAAUUCAGUCCUUCAAUGUCCAUCUUCAUUACCACAUAGUCACUCUCUGACACUGUAUUCUUCAACCAUUCUGCGAAAUCAAAUCCUUGAAUCUCACCCACAUCACCAAAGGAUGCAAAAUCACGCAAA